rnacentral:rRNA from 1 species
GAGUUUGAUCAUGGCUCAGGAUGAACGCUGGCGGCGUGCUUAACACAUGCAAGUCGAACGAAGCGCCUUAUUUGAUUUUCUUCGGAACUGAAGAUUUGGUGACUGAGUGGCGGACGGGUGAGUAACGCGUGGGGUAACCUGCCCUGUACAGGGGGAUAACAAUCAGAAAUGACUGCUAAUACCGCAUAAGACCACAGCACCGCAUGGUGCAGGGGUAAAAACUCCGGUGGUACAGGAUGGACCCGCGUCUGAUUAGCUGGUUGGUGAGGUAACGGCUCACCAAGGCGACGAUCAGUAGCCGGCUUGAGAGAGUGAACGGCCACAUUGGGACUGAGACACGGCCCAAACUCCUACGGGAGGCAGCAGUGGGGAAUAUUGCACAAUGGGGGAAACCCUGAUGCAGCAACGCCGCGUGAGUGAAGAAGUAUUUCGGUAUGUAAAGCUCUAUCAGCAGGGAAGAAAGUGACGGUACCUGACUAAGAAGCCCCGGCUAACUACGUAGCCAGCAGCCGCAACG